UCGAUCGAUUCGGGAGAUUUGUCCAACCCUACUUCUACCUCAUCCAGAAGAAUUACAGGUCCGGCUGAUUGGCCCACUAUCGAUGGUCCAUUGGAGCUCUCACAUCAAGAUUCAGUAGCUUACGCUCGCAGAUUCUUCAAUUUCGGAUUUUUCUGUCUUCCUUUUCUUUGGGUCAAUUGCUUCUAUUUCUGGCCCGUUCUUCGCCACCCGAAUUCUCAUAAUUUCCACCCCCACUCCGCCGCUGUAAGCCUUCCCAUCUCUCUAUAUGCAAAUUUAUCUGCAUACAUUUUUUUUAAAGUUAAUUUUUACUAGUUCGGUGAAGAAAGUUACCCAUUUGAGGUUUUGAAGAAUAUUGGACGAUUUAUAUUUUUUGGGUGGUUUUUAAUAUGUAAAAUUAUCUUAGGGUGUGGCGUUUAGACUAGAAAUUUACUCUUAAGAAAGGGUUUAUGCGAAAUAUGGGUUAUCAUAGGAAAUUUCAUGUCGUUCUGGAGUUCUUCUCGUUUAAUUUUUUAUCAAUGUUUUGUUCUGGGAUAUUAAAUUAUGAAGGGAAUGUGUAAUUUCCUCCCUCGCGUGCUCCCUAAGUUCCAUAAAUUGGUAAAGAAUUGGGUAUACAAGUGUGGUGUAUACUUGGUGUAGAAUUUGUUUGUUAUUGGACUAGUAAAUAAUUGUGUAAAUACUUUUCUUAAGUAAAUCAUUUUAAGAAUCUAAUAGAUGGAAUUAGAUUCAGUUACCUUCCAUGUACACUUAAACUGACUACUAGCCCUCGCGUCAAUUUCAAAACAAAAGUGUAAGUUUCCUUGCUAACAGUGCUAUCAUUUUGUUUACUUUUCUACGAGUUUUGCCAUUUGGCAUAGUGUGUGAUGUGAUCAUUCAUUUUUAGACUAAUAAACUCUCAGCUUAUCCUAUUCACAAGGGGUUUAGUUGUUACUUGAUGCCAUUACACUCUUUUCUUUCUCCUUUCUAAAAUACAAAGCACACAUAUCUUAUACAAAACAAUAAGCAUUAACAAAUGACAACACUUAAUUUUUAUUUUUUAGAAUUCUUUGAUUUACCUCUACUCAUAACAUUAACUUUAUCCAUCAUACAAUGUUUGCAUCGAGUCUGAAAAUAUUUGUAAGCAAAGGAUAAUAAUUGAAGGAAUAGAUACUUUUCUUGGUUUAGAUAUUCAUGAAUGAAACUAGAUUUUGGAUGAAUUCUGAAACAGAAUUAUAAAUGAUUGGACGCAUUAUUGCAUGCAUUUUUGUUUCAGUUAAUUUGAAGGGUUUGGUUAAGAAAGACAAGUUAACCGUUUGAGGUUUUGCAGAGUAUUGGACGAUUUACAUGUUUUGAGUGGUUUAUAUUAUGUAUAAGAAAGUUAGUACUGUUUUUACAUGGAGAUCGGUUGUUAGUGCACAUGAAAAUUAAUGCAUAAACUCAGAUUUACCAUGCUUUUCAAGAGAUGCUCUGACCUCUAUGAGUGCACAAAUACUCGUUGAUUUGCUCGAGUUAUGCACUGUUAAAAUAUUGCUUAAAGGUUUGGAUAGUUUUGUCUCAGCAUAAAAAAUUCUUCGAGUUGUUAUACUGGACUCGAUCAUCUUAUGUAUAGAAAACCUUGUCUUUUAGAGAGGACAAUAAACGGAUGAUUGGACUUGUCUUUUAAGUGUCAUAUUUUUGUCUCAUAUACGACUUUGAUCACCUCAAAACAAUCUUUUUAUAACCUUGAAUUUGGUAGGGAAAGUUAGUAAGUCUUGAUGCUGCCUUUUCUUCUUAUCUGGCUGCGACAACUGAUAACCGCUCUUGCCUUUUAGACUUCUUGACUGAUACCAGAUAUCUCAGUGGAAAGAAAAGACAUGAACAACAAUUAUAAGAAAUUCUCCAUCCACAUUUUCAUAUUCUCCUAACUGUAAAUUUUUCUUUGGGUUUAGGAGGGGAGGGGUUAAAAUAAACCGUAGCAUCUCAAGUUCAUUUACUGAUUCUUCCUUUUGUACAGAUGAUGUUGGAUCAGCAAUUGGCUUCUUGGCGUUUGCUGUGAUUCUCUCUUCAUGGUCUAUUACCUUUAUGAUUGGCGGGUACCAACUUUUUGGCCCGGUGUGGGAUAAAUUAGUUAUGUACAAUGUUGCCGAAAGAUAUGGAUUAACUGAGCUUAUCUAGAUCUACAUGUUAGUUUAGUGGUUUCAGUUCCAUAAUCGGCAUGGAUAUAGUCCGUGUUUUCUUUUGCUGAAAAAGAUUAUCAAUGUGAUUUUAUGAGAAAGUUAACUUACUAAUUUUUUUCUCCUUGGA
rnacentral:lncRNA from 1 species